UUCCCUCUGUGGUGACUGUAAUUGUAGUGAUGUGAUAUUGUCAUUGUUGUGUGUGUGAGAUGAGAGUAAAUGUUGUGUAUAUAAAGAUUUUGUGUAGUGGAUGUUUUCAGAGCUAAAACUGAGUGUGUUAAGUGUGAGAAGGUUUUCUUUCUUGCAGGAUGUGGAACUGCAGGAUUACAGAUGAAGGUUGUGCUGCUCUGGCUUCUGCUCUGAGGUCAAACUCCUCAUCACACCUGAGAGAACUGGAUCUGAAGAAUAAUAAUCCAGGAGAAUCAGCAGUGAAGCUGCUCUCUGAUCUACUGAAGGAUCCACACUGUAACCUGGAGACACUACACAUUAAGGAUAAUACACUCACCAGGACUGGCGUAUGACAGGAGUCUCACCUCAAACCUCUUCUCCAGGAUACUGCAGUCUCGGUGAAGAGUUAGAACCCAUCCCACAUUUCCAGCAGUUUGGGAGCUGAAUCAUUAAACUUAAAGGGGCAGAGCAGAAACAAAGUCAAGAACAUGCAUAAGAUCGUACACAGGAGAAAUCAACACACAUAGCCAAAUAUCUGCUGUACAAAGCAACGGCACCGAUCUGCCCCGGGGAUGGAGACUGACGAGGCUUAAGUACAUGUCCGGAAAUGUACAGCCAACUCAUCCCAAAGCACGAGGCGGGAGCAGGCGUGUACGAGAUGUGAUCGUCCAAUGGCAAGCAGGAACAUGACGCAUUGCAGUGGACUGGGCUUAAAAGAGGAGGAGACAAGACACCCAUCCCUCCCCCGACAUAGACACACGAAUGGAACAUAGUACAAACAGAAAUACAACUGAGGACGUAUCAAUGGUCAAGUAUCAAAUAAAAUGUAAACUUGCAUUGA